UAAGAGGAAAAUCCGUCGACUUUAAAAAUCGUGAGGGUUCAAGCC
rnacentral:tRNA from 1 species